rnacentral:rRNA from 1 species
GUGGAUUAGAUACCCUGGUAGUCCACGCCCUAAACGAUGCGAACUAGGUGUUGGGGAAGGAGACUUUCUUAGUACCGCAGCUAACGCGUGAAGUUCGCCGCCUGGGGAGUACGGUCGCAAGAUUAAAACUCAAAGGAAUUGACGGGGACCCGCACAAGCGGUGGAUGAUGUGGAUUAAUUCGAUGCAACGCGAAAAACCUUACCUACCCUUGACAUGUCAGGAAGUCCGCUGAGAGGUGGAUGUGCUCGAAAGAGAACCUGAACACAGGUGCUGCACGGUUGUCGCCAACU